rnacentral:rRNA from 1 species
UUUAACGAAUUCGCCCUUGGAUCCAGACUUUGAUCAUGGCUCAGGAACGAACGCUGGCGGCGUGCUUAACACAUGCAAGUCGAACGGGAGGAAAAGAGAAGCUUGCUUCUUUUUGAAUCUAGUGGCAAACGGGUGAGUAACACGUAAACAACCUGCCUUCAGGAUGGGGACAACAGACGGAAACGACUGCUAAUACCGAAUGUGUUCCGGAGACCGCAUGAUUUCCGGAAGAAAGGAUGGCCUCUAUUUAUAAGCUAUCGCCUGAAGAGGGGUUUGCGUCUGAUUAGGCAGUUGGUGAGGUAACGGCCCACCAAACCUACGAUCAGUAGCCGGUCUGAGAGGAUGAACGGCCACACUGGAACUGAGACACGGUCCAGACUCCUACGGGAGGCAGCAGUGGGGAAUCUUCCGCAAUGGACGAAAGUCUGACGGAGCAACGCCGCGUGAGUGAUGACGGCCUUCGGGUUGUAAAGCUCUGUGAUCGGGGACGAAUGGCUGGUAUGCUAAUACCAUAUCAGAGUGACGGUACCCGAAUAGCAAGCCACGGCUAACUACGUGCCAGUAGCCGCGGUAAUACGUAGGUGGCAAGCGUUGUCCGGAAUUAUUGGGCGUAAAGCGCGCGCAGGAGGCUUCUUAAGUCCAUCUUAAAAGUGCGGGGCUUAACCCCGUGAUGGGAUGGAAACUGGGAGGCUGGAGUAUCGGAGAGGAAAGUGGAAUUCCUAGUGUAGCGGUGAAAUGCGUAGAGAUUAGGAAGAACACCGGUGGCGAAGGCGACUUUCUGGACGACAACUGACGCUGAGGCGCGAAAGCGUGGGGAGCAAACAGGAUUAGAUACCCUGGUAGUCCACCGCCGUAAACGAUGAAUACUAGGUGUAGGAGGUAUCGACCCCUUCUGUGCC